UUACAGUUAGUAUUUUCACUUAAAAUUCCAAUUUUAUUACUUAGCAGACAGAUUUGGGGGUAUUUAUUAUAUUUUCUAAUGUUUCAGUAAGUUAGGGAUAAUUAUGUUCUUGCAUCUUCAGAAUUUCAUUCCAAAUAUUCAUAUUGUGUUUUCAUUACAUUUUCUGACUUUUAGUAUAUCGAGGGCAAUUAUGUUGUUGCAUGUUCCUAAUUUAAUCACCCCUGUUCAUAAAAACACAAAAAAGAAAGGACUUUGACUCAAUAGUCAUGCUAUCCUGCAGAUACUAUUGUUUCGUUAAAUAUAUUUCGUACAAACAUGGUACUAAGAUUGAACAUCAACCGAAUAGAAUUAGCAACACGAGAUUGGAUUUGCAAAGUUCAAAUUGUCGAAAUCUGACGCCCGCGAGAAAGUCCUGACAAGAAAUGUAGAUUCCAAAUUUGAUUUUCGAAGAUGAAGAGGAAUGCCAGAUUAAGGCAGUUAUGUAUGUCGAUGAAAUUGAGCAGUAUGCAGAUAAGAUUAAACUCAUCAAUACCUACCUCAUCUCUACUACAAAAGUCAAAGUCUCGCCAACUUCAUACGGCAAGCCAAUACAUAAAUUUUACUGGAUUCUUGACAAAGAAA